CCUACGGGAGUCUGCAGUGAGGAAUAUUUGUCAAUGGGCACGAGCCUGAACCAGCCAAGUAGCGUGAAGGAUGACUGCCCUACGGGUUGUAAACUUCUUUUAUAAAGGAAUAAAGUGAGGCACGUGUGCCUUUUUGUAUGUACUUUAUGAAUAAAGAUCGGCGAACUCCGUGCCAGCAGCCGCUGUAAUACGGAGGAUCCGCGCGUUAUCCGGAUUUAGUGGGUUUAAAGGUAGCUUAGAUGGGUUGUUAAGUCAGUUGUGAAAGGUUGCGGCUCAACCGUAAAAUUGCAAUUGAUACUGGCAGCCUUGAGUACAGUUGAGGUAGGCGGAAUUCGUGGUGUAGCGGUGAAAUGCUUAGAUAUCACGAAGAACUCCGAUUGCGAAGGCAGCUUACUAAACUGCCACUGACAUUGAUGCUCGAAAGUGUGGGUAUCAAACAGGAUUAGAUACCCUUGUAGUC
rnacentral:rRNA from 1 species